UUGCUCACUUCAGCAGCACAUAUACCAAAAUUGGAACAAUAUAGAGAUUAGUCUGACCCCUGCCCAAGGAUGGCAUGUAAAUUUGUGAAGUGUUCUAUAUUUUU